rnacentral:lncRNA from 1 species
CCCAACUCAGCCUCCUGAGUAGCUGAGACCACAGGUAUGCAACACCAUGCCUGGCUUUUUUAUCUUUUGUGGAGACAGGGUCUCACUAUGUUGCUCAGGCUGGUCUCAAGCUCUCAGGUUCAAACAAUCCCCUCACCUUAGCCUCCCAAAGUGCUGGGAUUACAGGUGCAAGCCACUGUGCCUGGCCUCAUUAUCACCAUUUGUAAGUGACACACUGGUGUUACCAUUUCAGCUCCCUAUGAGUUCCAGUGGUGUGUUUCUUUCGCCUCCCCAUAGUUCCCUGCCACGGCAGUCUAGAGAAGAGCAAGCAGUCUGCUGUAAUGGAAGGCAGGAGACACAGGCUAAAGUUGUGGCAUGCUGACACUUGCAGCUCGUAUGAGACAAACCAAAUUUGUUUACCACUCUGGAUGUCGGUCUCCUCAUCUACAAAAUGAGGAGAGAGGCCCCCAUGCCUGAUACCUCUCAUAUUUUGGUGUAUGAUUACUGUUGAACACCUGCUUGUCUCCACCAAGCAGAUACAGUGCGGCGGGAGAAACAGCUUGCGACCAGAGCAGAAUAAUCCCAGCAACUCUCCUUGCUUGGAAUUGUUUUCUGCCUAAUAUGUGAUCCUGCCCGCACUAUGAAAUGUUCCUUUUGGAUCAGAAUUCAUGAACAGUAUCUAAAAGAUUCUGGGAAAGCCUCCAUAGACCUGGGACCUACAGCCACUUUGCCAGAGAAGAACGAUGAUUCAUCCUGAAUUUUGGCUCUAGCUUCUUUGUUAGGGCAAAACAGAGAUCCUGCCAGCUGUUGGAAUGAAAGGAGCGUUUUUCUUUAGACAGUGACAAGCCUGAGGCAAGGGACACAGUGUCAUGAGAGUUCCCACUCAGAAACGGAGAUGCUCCUUGGAGUCGGACACACUCACCCCUUGACCAAACUUGAGUAAGGCUCCUCUGAGUCCUCUUUUUCUUUUUUUGAUGUUUUUUGUUGUUGUUGUUGGUUGUUUUGUUUUGUUUUUUGGUGUUGGUUUUUUUUUUUGUAUUUUUGAGAAAGUGUCUCACUCUGUCACCCACGUUGGAGUGCAGUGGAAUCAUGGCUCGCUGCAGCCUCAACCUCCUGGGCUCAAGUGAUCCUCCAACCUCAGCCUCCUGAGUAGCUGGGACUACAGACAUGUACCACGCGUGGCUAAUUUUUACACUUUUUUGUAGAGAUGGGGUCUCACUAUGUUGCCCAGUCUGGUCUUGAACUUCUGGACUCAAGUGAUCCUCCCACCUCAGUUUUCAAAGUGUUGGGAUUAUGGGCAUGAGCUAUUGCACCCUGCCUGAGUCCUCUUUCUGACUCUUGGACUCUUAGUCCAGUUUUAGCAAGAAUUCUGCUGAGUCAGUUUAGCAAAAAUCUCCUAUCCUUGGUAUCUGAUCACAUUCCUCAUUCCCUACCCUGAUAGCUUAUCACCCUGGCCUGCCUUCAGCAAGAAUCCUAGUGACUUGGUGUAUCAAGAAUUGCCCCAGCCCUCACGUUUCCUCUUAGUACUUUUCUAUCUACUGACCCCAACAUUGCUCCUUGGCUGUAUAAAUCUCCACUUGUCCUGCUAUGUUUGGGGUUGAGUCUGACCUUUCUCCCCUAUUGCAGAACCCCACUGCGGUGGCUCCUGCUUGAAUAAGUCUUCCUUACCAUCUUUUUUUUUUUUUUUUUGAGAUGGAGUCUCGCUCUAUUCGCUCUAUCGCCCAGGCUGGAGUGCAGUGGCACAAUCUUGGCUCACUGCAACCUCCACCUCCUGAGUUCAAGCAAUUCUCCUGUCUCAGCCUCCCAAGUAGCUGGGAUUACAGGCACCCAUGAUCACACCCGGCUAAUUUCUGUAUCUUUAGUAGAGACGGGGUUUCACCAUGUUGACCAGGCUGGUCUCAAACUCCUGACCUCAGGUGAUCCACCUGCCUCGGCCUCCCAAAGUGCUGGAAUUACAGGUGUGAGCCAUGGUGCUCGGCCCGUUACCAUCUUUAACAAUAGUCAGGAAUAACUUUUCAUCAAGAAUUCCCAGGAUGGUGAACCAUCUGCCACGUGAGCCUGUUUGAUAAUCAGGGAUGAGGGAGCCUUCACGCCAGCCUCUGAGAAACCAGGCGUGUACCUGUUGGUCUCAAAGUCACCCUCUCUUGACUCCUCCUCCAAACCUCACCAUCAAGAUGCUCCAAUGAAAGCAGGUCUUGGGCAAUUCUGCCAGCCAGCCAUGCUCAUUGGCAAGGCUGCACAAAACAGUUUGUAAGCUUGGGGAAGUCCUAGCUGUCCUCAGAUUCUCAGAUACGUAGCUUGCUUGAAAGGUUGGGGUUCUGAAGGAGCAGCUUGAAUCUCAGUCCAUCCUGUGACAAUCUCACAAAGUGGGGACCAGAUUCUGAUGCCUCAUUGGGACAGAGGCAACAAUGACUAUGCAGUGCUCCUAGCUGGCCACAUGUUGUGAACAUUAUUUACUUCACCAGUGAAAACUUAUUUCAAACAUCCCUUAUGCUAAUUAAUCAACCCUCUGGUAUAAUUUUGAUAACCACAUUUGAAAUGCUUUGUUAAAACCACUGGACUAUGGAUUCCUAAGGAACUCCAAAGGCGAAACAGCUGCCCUCGCUAUAUAUGUUCAGUUAACCUAUGAGCAUGUGUAUCAUUAUUAAUGCUUAAGUAUUUAAAAGUAUAUUACUACCCAGAUGAACUAGGAAGGAGAUAAAUCACAUGACUUCUGAGUUCCCUCCCAUGCUAAAUAUAUGUAAACUAUUGUUAUAUAUAUAUAUGUUUCUGUGUUUUUUUUUUUUACUUUAAUACUCCUUAAAGUCAGGGAAGGAAGGCAGAAAUAGGUUUUCAGAUUUCGCCAUUUCUGAAGUUGCAGGGACAAUUCCAUGAAGCUAAGACAGGCCCCCCCUUGCUCCUGGUGUCCAUCUAACUGAUGCUCUCAGGCUUUAUGCCUCCUUUCCUCUUCCAGUUGUCGCUGGCAAUUUCUCAUUCCUCGGGAUGGCUGAGGCCAUCUCUGUGACUGUCCCCCCAAAGCUAGAAGCCAGACACUGUUCACACUUGUGGUGCCCACCUGUCUUCCUUGAGCCUUUCAGGUACACAGGGAGGCCUGCGGUGGCAGGUGGAGGUGAGCAAUAGGGUUCAGAAGGGAAGGUGGAGAGGGAUGCAGCUGGGAAAAAAAAAAAAAAGAUUCCAGAGCAGUGAGAAAGGCACAGCCAGGCCUGAGUGAGGGAAGGAAAGGCCAGUCCCUUCUCUUGCCUGGCUACAGGAGUGGGACAAAGUGGUUGGCUAACUGCUGUGGGGCCUCACUUGGAGAAACCAGUUUGGGGGUACACAAGGAGCUGUGAAGGAGAGAAGAAAUUAGACUAGGCCGCAUGGGCAGUCCACGGAAUGUUGGAGAACUACGGUGAGGCCCUCAAACAGGGCAAGGGCUUACCCCGGGCAGUGGGCCAGACCCCACUGGACAGCUAUGGUGCUGACAGGAGGACUCCUAGAGAAAUGGAAAGAUCAUGAGCCUGAAGGGGAAUUCAGUUUCUGGGAAUGGGCGGAUAAGAACGGAGAAAAUGUCAUUCUGAGAUGUCACUGUAGAUCUUCCCCAAACAGAGCUGACCCCAGGCAAGGGGCCUGACCCCAGCCUGUUCACAGCCCUCCAUCUCUCCCAUUUCUAGGGCUGUUUCCACAGCCCCCUUCCCACCGCAGCUCAGCACCUCCACACCAGUGUCUUUCCCCUCCUUUCCUCCAUCCCUUGUCCCCACCACAGUUCCCACUCUGGCAUGGUUCGUUGGCUUGGACCCAGGAAAUCUGUGGUCUGGAGAGGCAAGCUAGAAGUCUUAACAGCCCUUUCCCACAGAAGCAUGAAAUGGCAAACCAAUUUCAUGUUUGGGAGGUCGAGGAACAGAGCAGUUUCUGGAGUUGGACUGCCUGGGUGUGAAUGGCAGCUCCACCCCUUAGCUGCGGAGGGACCGUGCGCAAAUUACUGAACCUCAUUUUCCACAUCUGUCAAAUAGGGACAAUAAUAGCUUCCACCGCCUAUGCUGUCAUGAGCACAAAAUAGGAGUGUGUGCAAAGCUCUUAGCAUAGUAGCUGGUGCACAGGCAGUGCCCAGCAAGAAGCAGUACUCCAUUUCCUAUGUAACCUCUCUACUCAACUCCUCACCUCCACUCAUGUCUGGCCCAAACUAUUCUCCAUGCAGCAUGGUGAUCUUUUGAAAAUAUGCUGACAUCCAUCACUCUUCUGCUGAAAACUCCUCAACAGUAUCUCAUUGCUAGCACAACAGGCAGCCUGUGCAGCUACUGCCCACCGCUGCCCUGACUCGGGGCUGUGGUCACAGUGGCCUCUGGUGUUCUUCGCCCCUCUCUCUCUACCUGGAACAUUCUUCCCUGAUCCACUAAGUCGUGACUCAGCUCAAGUGCCAUUUCCUCGAAGAAGAAGCCCCUCUAACCACCUAUUGCUCUUUUUCAGCAAUAAUCCCCAAUCUGUAAUUACUUUAUUGAUUUAUUGUCCGUGAUCCCAUGAGAAGGCAGCUCCAUGAAGCCAUCCAGCCAAGUGCUUGCUGAAUGAACGAUACAGCCCGAAGGAUACAUGUAAUAACAAAUAUUACACAUCAAGCCCAGUGGCCCAAAGUAAACAUGUUUAUUCUCAGUUCUGCCUUAGGGGUCUCUAGUUUUGCAAGCAUGAGUAAAUGGAAUCAACAAUAAUCCUCUCC